GAAGGUUUCUCUUCUAAAUAUAUUUUCGGAAAAUUCGCAUUUUAUAAAAGAGUACCGCUGUAAUAAGCGGGUAUUUGUACGUCGAUAAUUGUAUGUGUUCAGCGGAUAUCAUUUACUGCGAUUAAGGGACUCUAUGACCUUUUAAACUGACUACUAAAAAUAGAUCAGUGCCCGAGACAUUAGUAGGAAAAUCUAGUGCGAGGUUUCCAUUCAUAAAAUCUAUCAUUUGGUGGUCGGUCGUGACGACACAGCAUCGGCGCAUAAUUAAAAUACAUCAGUGAACUCGCAUCGUUGGCUUGAACAGAGUGAACAAUCAAUAACACCGUCGCCGUUCAAGGAGUUUUCGUCAAAAAGUAUCGGAAGCAAGCAAGAUGGCGACCGAGGGCGGACUGGCGCCUGCCGGCGACGGCGACAUGCCUGUGGGCGGACCCAAGACGCCCCAGCAGAUCGCCGCGCAGCGCCGCCUCCAGCAGACACAGGCGCAAGUUGACGAGGUGGUGGACAUCAUGAAAACAAACGUCGAAAAGGUGCUGGAGCGCGAUUCAAAGCUCUCGGAGCUUGAUGAUAGAGCAGACGCACUCCAGCAUGGAGCAUCACAAUUUGAGCAACAGGCCGGGAAGCUGAAAAGCAAAUUCUGGUUGCAAAAUUUAAAGAUGAUGAUAAUCGCGGCCGUGAUCGGAAUCGUUAUCCUGGCUCUGAUCAUUGCUAACUGUGUGUGAACAACUUUGGAGCAGUUUCAUUUAGAAGUAACUUGUUAUAAUAUUUAUAAUAUAACGUUAUUUUAUUGCGUUAAAACUGAGCCUAGUUUGGUCUGUAAACAUCGGAAAUGGAGGAUAGAUGGCCGAGAUCUCUACCGAAUUCCAUCAUCUGGACAGCCUAAUUUCACCAUUGUUUUAACCUGUCGUCGAGUUAAAUCAGCACCGUCUACAAUGUACCCAAUAUCAAUUUUCCUAACAUAAAACUAUUUAUAAACCACUAGGCCGGGUGCACUCUGGUGAAGUCUGGUGCGGCGUUAACUUAAGUCCAGUUUCUAUUCGUAUUCACGUUCCCUUAGUGUGCAGCGGGCCUAAAGGAAAAAGUUUAUAGUACCUAAACUGUAUUUUCUUCACAUCACUAUCACUGUUCAUGACUUUAAGAAAAGUAUUUUUAGAUGAGUUUUCGUUAUUGAAAAUGUUUACCUUAGAAUAACAACUGUAAUUUGCUAAACGCUAUACACAACCUAAGGCUUAUUGAAAACGACCAUAUCUCCAAUUUCCAACAUUGAAUAUCUGAUCAAUGAGAUCGACCUAAGAGAAAUUUUAACCAUAUUAGACUUUUAUUUUCUUUUCAUUCGGACCAAAUUUUUUAAUGAGCACCUAAUCGUUAUUAUGGAUUGCAUUUAUUUUGUACCGGAGUUUAUAAAUUUAUAUUUUCAAUUUAGAAUAAUUUAACUGUUGCUCUUUGAUAAAAUGUCUAUAUGAAUAUGUUUCUAUCUCGUAAACUAAGUAUGGAAUUUCGUAAACUUUUUAAACGUUGAAUAUGGAUAUUGAUCUCACAUAGAAUAUUAGCCGCAGCUGACAUUGCCGUUCUAGUCCACUUUCCUUUUAAAAUUAAGUACCUAACUAGUCGGAACAAUAGUACUUAAAUAAAUAUUAACAUUAACAUUUUAGAAUCAUUUUACUGCUUCUGUAUACGCAAAUAUAUAAUACUUUUGAAUUGGGUAACUUAAUGGAUGUGAAAAAAGAUCGACUUAGAAUGGUUUGCUUAUUCGCUUAGUUCUUAGUCAGAUUACCGACGUUUUUGUAGCUGUUUAAACUAAGUACCUAACUUAACGUACUUAUUGGCGGUGAUUUCUAUUUGAAACGAAAAUUUAUAAUAUUCAUGUUGUUGUUUGUAAUAAAUAGAAUUAGACUAAAAAAAUAAUGUUCAUUCUUACGAUCUCUUGUAAUCGUGACUGGCCAAUAUUUUUUAAAUACUUAUACAUAACCACAUGUUGUAACAGAUAUGUAUCUUAUAUCUUUUUCUGUGUGUAUUGUAUGUAAAAACAGCUUUGUAGUUAGAAAGUGUAAAAAGUUUCACUAUAAUUAGGUGUUUUUAUUGUAACCACACAUAGGCUAAAAGUGAGUUAAAGUUAAUAAAGAUAAUGUUUAUCCAUUGGGAAAAUUGGCCAGUGUUGGAUUUAAACCAGUCAUUAGUACUUAAAUUAAGUCGAGUUCCAAAAAAAUAGAAAAUUUAUAAUAAGCCAUGUAUGGGUAACAAUGAAUUAGUUUUUAGAUUUAGACACUAUUGUGGCCCGGUAUAAAGGCCUUAAUAUUGUGUCAACCCUGUGAACCGGCAUCGUUCUACUGGGUCCACGGUUGGCUCGAUAUCGCGCCAGUAUUUCUAUUACAUACAUACCUAUAUAAAACUACGCAGGGUUUGUGCUGGUCUCAUUCUUCUGAGCCAUAAGAAUUGAGACGGGCAAAAACGAGCCAUAGAAAAGGAAAUUGUACAAGAAUAGGUACGCAUAUGCACGUCGUGUUGAGUCGUUUUUAGAUCUAGUAUUCAUAGCCUACUGAAAUUGUUACAUCUACUGUCUGACCUCCAAUUUCGAAUUAUUUUAUUAAGAAUAUAUAAAACACCAAAUAUUAUUCAUCAAACAGUUGUACCUACUGUAAACACUUAUUACCAUAAAAAAAAAGUAAAACAUCUCUACUUAAUUAAUGGUCUAUAAAUUGGGUGGUUUUAAUAAUAAUUCGAAAAUGGAAAUUAUAAAAAUCACUGUAAGGUAAGGUAAAAAAUACACCAGAUAUAUGUUAUUAAUAGAUUUAUAUUAUACUUUAAUAUAAGAAUAUUCCAUUAGUGAAAAAUGUUCUGAGAAUAGUUGGCAAGUGUUUAUAAACAGUAACAUGCUGCUAUACAUCAUAAUAAAACAUACCUCUUCACUGGUGUUGGGUAUUCCUACAUUAUUUGUGGUCAUAUAACAUUAAGAUCUUAAUAAUAACAUGCUAAAUAAAAUAAAAAUAGUGAAAAUAUUUACGCGACUAUCAAUCAUUGAGUGAUUUGAUUAUUUAAACCAAAAAUUAACAAUGAGCAAGAAAUUAUUAUAAAAGGUAAUUAUUGAAUACCUACACAAUACACGUAUUUUAGUCUGCUACAAAUAUGACCACAGGUAACUUAAUUUGAGAACACUGAAACGCAUACCUAGUGUAAAAUUAUGUAAACCCACUAAUCAUGAGAAAAUUUUAAAUAGAUGCAUUUUUGAUGAACUUUUUAGAGACAUGGGUCUAUUUUGUGUUGACUAUGUAGGGGUCUGAAACUGUAAUAAGAUACACGUAAGUAGGUAUGUAUUGGAAUUAAUGAACUAAGUAGGUACCUAUAUAUUUAAAAUACAUGUGUCAGAUUGUGAAGAUAAUGAGAUUUUCGUAAACAGAAGCUUUCAUUCAUGAUAAGUGGAUUUAUAUUAAAUUUCAACGUGUGAUGGGACUAGUGUAGUCACUAAGAUAUUUAAAAUAUUGACUAAAGGGUAAACACGUUACUUUUUAAACAAGUAGGUAUUUAACCUACCUAAUAAAUGUGUAUCUUAAUUUUUAUGAUAUUUAAUAAUUUUUGAUGAUGAUUAUUAAUCUGUUUUAAUGAGAAUAUUGUAAACAAUAAUACUAAGUAUGUAUUAUGUAUUUUCUUCUUGUGUUUUAUACUUAAACAAUUCUUACUAAUAAUAAAUAAAUAAAGGAAAUAAUAAUGUAUGAUCGGCUAAGCUAAGCUGACUCUUAGCCGUUUAUUGCGACAUGCGACAGCAACAAAAUGUGCAACCUACGUUAAAAUCCCUAAUAGAAAUUUAACAUCAAUGAGGGCGCUACUUCCAGCGCAGCCGCUAGCUUGCCAAAUUGGUGAACU